rnacentral:rRNA from 1 species
UACAGAGGGGGCGAGCGUUGUUCGGAAUUACUGGGCGUAAAGGGCGCGUAGGCGGCCCGCUAAGUCGAACGUGAAAUCCCCAGGCUCAACCUGGGAACUGCGUCCGAUACUGGCAGGCUUGAAUCCGGGAGAGGGAUGUGGAAUUCCAGGCGUAGCGGUGAAAUGCGUAGAUAUCUGGAGGAACACCGAUGGCGAAGGCAGGUCUCUGGGCCACUACUGACGCUGAGAAGCGAAAGCAUGGGGAGCGAACAGG